rnacentral:rRNA from 1 species
GGCUCAGGAUGAACGCUGGCGGUAUGCUUAACACAUGCAAGUCGAACGAUGUUUUAGGACAUAGUGGCGGACGGGUGAGUAACGCGUAAGAAUCUACCUUCAGGUUUGGGACAACCAUUGGAAACGGUGGCUAAUACCGAAUGUGCCGAGAGGUGAAAGGCUUGCUGCCUGAAGAAGAGCUUGCGUCUGAUUAGCUAGUUGGUGGGGUAAGAGCCUACCAAGGCGACGAUCAGUAGCUGGUCUGAGAGGAUGAUCAGCCACACUGGGACUGAGACACGGCCCAGACUCCUACGGGAGGCAGCAGUGGGGAAUUUUCCGCAAUGGGCGAAAGCCUGACGGAGCAAUACCGCGUGAGGGAGGAAGGCUCUUGGGUUGUAAACCUCUUUUCUCAGGGAAGAAAAAAAUGACGGUACCUGAGGAAUAAGCAUCGGCUAACUCCGUGCCAGCAGCCGCGGUAAUACGGAGGAUGCAAGCGUUAUCCGGAAUGAUUGGGCGUAAAGGGUCCGCAGGUGGUAGUGUAAGUCUGCUGUUAAAGAGUCACGCUCAACGUGAUAAAAGCAGUGGAAACUACACAACUAGAGUACGGUAGGGGCAGAAGGAAUUCCUGGUGUAGCGGUGAAAUGCGUAGAUAUCAGGAAGAACACCGGUGGCGAAAGCGUUCUGCUAGACCUGUACUGACACUGAGGGACGAAAGCUAGGGGAGCGAAUGGGAUUAGAUACCCCAGUAGUCCUAGCCGUAAACGAUGGAUACUAGGUGUGGCUUGUAUCGACCCGAGCCGUACCGUAGCUAACGCGUUAAGUAUCCCGCCUGGGGAGUACGCACGCAAGU